AUUGAACGCUGGCGGCAGGCCUAACACAUGCAAGUCGAACGAGUGGCGGACGGGUGAGUAAUGUCUGGGAAACUGCCUGAUGGAGGGGGAUAACUACUGGAAACGGUAGCUAAUACCGCAUACCAUCGGAUGUGCCCAGAUGGGAUUAGCUAGUAGGUGGGGUAAAGGCUCACCUAGGCGACGAUCCCUAGCUGGUCUGAGAGGAUGACCAGCCGCACUGGAACUGAGACACGGUCCAUACUCCUACGGGAGGCAGCGGUCGGGAAUAUUGCACAUCUGGGGCAAGCAUAAUGCAGCCAUGGCGCGUGUAUAAAGAAGGCCGUCGGUUUGUAAAGUACUUUCAGCGGGGGGGCGUUACCCGCAGAAGAAGCACCGGCUAACUCCGUGCCAGCAGCCGCGGUAAUAC
rnacentral:rRNA from 1 species